GACGAACGCUGGCGGCGUGCUUAACACAUGCAAGUCGAGCGAUGAAAUUCCUUCGGGAAUGGAUUAGCGGCGGACGGGUGAGUAACACGUGGGUAACCUGCCUCAUAGAGGGGAAUAGCCUUCCGAAAGGAAGAUUAAUACCGCAUAAGAUUGUAGUUUCGCAUGAAACAGCAAUUAAAGGAGUAAUCCGCUAUGAGAUGGACCCGCGUCGCAUUAGCUAGUUGGUGAGGUAACGGCUCACCAAGGCGACGAUGCGUAGCCGACCUGAGAGGGUGAUCGGCCACGUUGGGACAGAGACACGGCCCAGACUCCUACGGGAGGCAGCAGUGGGGAAUAUUGCACAAUGGGGGAAACCCUGAUGCAGCAACGCCGCGUGAGUGAUGACGGUCUUCGGAUUGUAAAACUCUGUCUUCAGGGACGAUAAUGACGGUACCUGAGGAGGAAGCCACGGCUAACUACGUGCCAGCCGCCGCAGUAA
rnacentral:rRNA from 1 species